AUUGAACGCUGGCGGCAGGCCUAACACAUGCAAGUCGAGCGCGAAAGCACUUCGGUGUGAGUAAAGCGGCGGACGGGUGAGUAACGCGUAGGAAUCUACCUAGUAGUGGGGGACAACUCGGGGAAACUCGAGCUAAUACCGCAUACGCCCUACGGGGGAAAGGCUUCGGCCGCUCUUUGAGAAGCCCGCGUACGAUUAGUUUGUUGGUGGGGUAAUGGCCUACCAAGGCGAUGAUCUGUAGCUGAUUUGAGAGGAUGAUCAGCCACACUGGGACUGAGACACGGCCCCGACUCCUACGGGAGGCAGCAGUGGGGAAUUUUGGACAAUGGGCGAAAGCCUGAUCAGCAAUACCGCGUGUGUGACGAAGGCCUUCGGGUUGUAAAGCACUUUCAGUUGUGAAGAAAAAGUAUGAGUUAAUAGCUUAUACCCAUGACGUUAGCAACAGAAGAAGCACCGGCUAACUCUGUG
rnacentral:rRNA from 1 species